UGUCACCCUGAGCUAAUGUCUUAAGGAAGAACAAUUAUUCUUAACAAAUGCUGGAUUCAUCUCCAAAGUUAGAGCAAGACCUUAAAUGGGAAUGUAAGAAAUAAUUCACUGACUGGGAGGAUCAUCAUCACUUCCAAGGUGACUACCUUGUGUUCAGGGAGUAGAGGGAAAUCCAGAAGCAGGAGGAGAUAUGGUCCUUUCCCACAGGGAGAGUCUAGUCCCGUGGACUGAGGUGGGAUGCCACUCAAGGCACAAGGACUAAGUUGAAGAAAGACAAGGACAGACCAGGAGGCACUUUACAGAGCUCCAGAGACUACCAGGCGGCUGAAGAGUCUGUCAUUGCCGAUGUCAUCACAUUUACAAGAUCAUUGGUCCCUUCUUCUGUAAGCCCCAAGAAUGAGCACCUCUCUGCACCUGCAGCCACGGCCCACCACUGCUCCGUGUGAAGAAGCAGAGCACUGAGGGAGGCUGAGGUGAGGGUCUCUCUGAUAUCCACUCACUCAC
rnacentral:lncRNA from 1 species